UUAAUUUUUUUUGUAUUUUCUGUUUCUUGGUCAUUUCAAUUUAUAAGAAAUAAAGAAAAAAAGUACUACUACUGCUAAAGAUUGUGUUUUUUUGUUUCUGUUGGUUGGUUGGGGCUGGUUGGGUUGGGGUUGGUUUUUGUUUUUAUAAAAAGAAAGAAGGAAGAUUGAAUGAAUACACACAUACACGAUUGGUGGAUUAUUUUUCCGAGUUUUUCGCAUGCGUUGUCGCGGUGAUCUCUGUGCGGCAUAAGCGCAGAGAUACUGUGGGGUGCGAUAUCGUGGGUUUCUA
rnacentral:ribozyme from 1 species